UACGGAGGGUGCAAGCGUUAUCCGGAUUCACUGGGUUUAAAGGGUGCGUAGGCGGACAGGUAAGUCAGUGGUGAAAUCUCUGGGCUUAACCCAGAAACUGCCGUUGAUACUAUUUGUCUUGAAUAUCCUGGAGGUAGGCGGAAUAUGUCAUGUAGCGGUGAGAUGCUUAGAUAUGACAUAGAACACCGAUAGCGAAGGCAGCUUACUACAGGAUGAUUGACGCUGAGGCACGAAAGCGUGGGGAGCAAACAGG
rnacentral:rRNA from 1 species